GUGCCAGCAGCCGCGGUAAUACGUAGGUGGCGAGCGUUGUCCGGAAUCAUUGGGCGUAAAGCGCGCGUAGGCGGCUUGCCAGGUCUGAUGUGAAAUCUCGGGGCUCAACCCCAAGCGUGCAUCGGAAACCGGCUUGCUAGAGUCUGGGAGAGGAGAGUGGAAUUCCUGGUGUAGCGGUGAAAUGCGUAGAUAUCAGGAGGAACACCAGUUGCGAAGGCGGCUCUCUGGAACAGUACUGACGCUGAGGCGCGAAAGCUAGGGGAGCGAACAGGAUUAGAAACCCGGGUAGUCC
rnacentral:rRNA from 1 species